rnacentral:rRNA from 1 species
CUGUCUUGUAAUUGGAAUGAUGGUGACUUAAACCCUCACCAGAGUACCAAUUGGAGGGCAAGUCUGGUGCCAGCAGCCGCGGUAAUUCCAGCUCCAAUAGCGUAUAUUAAACUUGUUGCAGUUAAAAAGCUCGUAGUUGAAUUUCAGCGUUUCGCGUGUGCCUCUUUUGGCCCAUCUCGUCUCGCUUUUUUUAUUACUUUGAGAAAAUUAGAGUGUUUCAAGCAGGCUUUUGUCUUGAAUACUUGAGCAUGGAAUAAUAGAGUAGGACCUUGGUUCUAUUUUGUUGGUUUUGUUACCUUGGUAAUGGUUAAUAGGAACGGUUGGGGGCAUUCGUAUUUAACUGUCAGAGGUGAAAUUCUUAGAUUUGUUAAAGACGAACUACUGCGAAAGCAUUUGCCAAGGACGUUUCCAUUAAUCAAGAACGAAAGUUAGGGGAUC